AUCCACUCUUAGUGCAAGUGUUACUCAGAAGUAUUAUUGUUUCACUUUAUUGGGCUAUUAGCACUUGGCAGUCUCACAUCAGUUGGUGGUGACAUUCAUGCUGUUUCAUUAUCAGAGAAGCUCAUUGCACUUGUUUUGAUGGUGUGGGUGUGGUCAGGUACGGGUACAUUCCUGAAAGCGUGAUCUCAACUCUGUGACAAAUCUUGAUGCAGCAAGAGGCAAGUACACUCAACAACUUCAGCCAAUCAAGAGUUACAUGAAAAGUGCAAAGAUCAGUUCAGUAUUAUUUAGAAGAGUUACUGACUAUUUGAAAUAUAAUGUAAAUAAUGUUUUUGUUGUUGUUUAUUGAUGUUGUUGUUUAUUAUAUCGGAGUUAUAGGAGAGGUACGUG